ACCAUUCUUUUCUUGGGGUUGUCCUACUGUCCAGUGAGUGUAUAGAGAGGGCAAUACUUCUCACAUCUAAACAACAAACUGAUAUCAGUUAGAGCUUUGCUUUAUCUUGGUGCAAUUUUUGGAAAU